AAACCGUAACGAACCGUCUGAGAAACAAACAAAAACAGCCAAAACUUUCAACAACGGAUCUCUUGGCUCUGGCAUCGAUGAAGAACGCAGCGAAAUGCGAUACGUAAUGCGAAUUGCAGAAUUCAGCGAGUCAUCGAAUCUUUGAACGCA
rnacentral:rRNA from 1 species